AGAUACUCCUAACUGGAACUGUAGACACUCUGCUCAGAGCCAGCUGCCUAAAACCAUCAUGUCCUCAUUCUGCCCAUCCUGGGAUUCCAUCCUGACAGCUCUGCUUGCGCACACUCAGCAAUAUCCUGUCACUGACACACACAAUUUCAGAGUACAUGCUCACAGGUACCCCAUUGCCUCACCACCAGGGGCUCACCUCAAGGGACUACGCUGGUGUGUCCCUCCGAUCUGACGUUCAAGUUCAUAGCUGCAGGCUUCCAGCUAUUAAUGGUGUUCCUGGCAUUUUCCCAAGAGUUCCACUGUAGUGAGUUGUUGCCAUGGUCCACUUUUGAAUCACAAGCCACAGUUUGAAAGACACUUGUAUGAAGCAUGCACUUUGGAGGCCAAAAAAGAAGAGGCAAAAAGAGAGCUUGCCCCAGGAUGCUGGAGACUGGUCUGCCUGCACAGGAGCACUUCCCAGGCCCUCCACUACGGUGUUGUAUAGAAGUGGUUGGAGAUGUCAGCCUUGAUGUGUUUCUGAUCUUAGAGGAAAGCAUUACAUCUUCCACCAGCAAAUACAAUGUUUCAUCACAGAUACCCUUUAUCAACACAGAUACUACCAAGACUGGAACUGCAGACAGUCUGCUCAUAGCCAGCUGCCUGAAGCCAUUGUCUCCUAAUUCUGCUUAUCCUGGGAUACCAUCCUGAUAGCUCUGCCUGCCCACACUCAGCAAUAUCAUGUCGUUUGUAUACACAACUGCAGAUGACAUGCUGAAUUUUUCCAAAUGCUUUUUCUCUGUCUUUUGAAGAUGUCAUAUGGUUUUCUCCUUUUUUCUAUUAAUAUGGUGAAUUAUAUUCUUUUGUUCACAUGUUAAACCAGAUAGGCUUUAUUUGUUUCUAGGAGAAACCUUAUUUUAUCAUGAUAUGUUAUACUUUUACAUACUGUUGUAGUCAAAUUGCUGAAGUUUUAUUUUAUUUUAUUUUAAAGAAUUUUUAAAUCCCUGUUUACAAGGAAUAUUGAUCUGUGUUUUCUUAUGAUGUCUUUGUCAGGUUUGGGAUUGAAAGUAAUAAAGACUUCCUAAGACAAUUGAGAAGUAGUCCUUCCUCUGUUUUCUGAAAGACAAUGUGUAGAGUUGGAAUUAUUUCUUCUUCAAGUGUUUGAUAGAAUUAACUUAUGAAACCAACUUAACUUCAAGUUUCUUUGUGGGAAGACUUUCUACUAAAAUUGAAUUUCUUUAAUAAUUAGUAAGCUACUAAUAUUUUCUAUUUCUUCCUUGGAUCAGUUUUGGUAAUUUGCAUCUUUCAAGAAAUUUAUCCCUUCCCUCUCUGUUGUCUGAUUUAAUGUCACGAUGUUAUAAUUCAUUCAUGAUUUUAUUAUGUCUUUAGGAUCUUCAGUGAUCUU
rnacentral:lncRNA from 1 species